rnacentral:rRNA from 1 species
GCGGGAAAUCUCACCAGGCCCGGACACUGGAAGGAUUGACAGAUUGAGAGCUCUUUCUCGAUUCGGUGGGUGGUGGUGCAUGGCCGUUCUUAGUUGGUGGAGUGAUUUGUCUGGUUAAUUCCGAUAACGAACGAGACUCUGUCCUGCUAAAUAGUUGUAUCGUCUUUUUUGCGAUGCAAAUUCUUCUUAGAGGGACUGGCGGCGUCUAGCCGCACGAGAUUGAGCAAUAA